CAGUCGCCACGGUAAUACAGAGGGUGCGAGCGUUAAUCGGAUUUACUGGGCGUAAAGCGUGCGUAGGCGGCUUUUUAAGUCGGAUGUGAAAUCCCUGAGCUUAACUUAGGAAUUGCAUUCGAUACUGGGAAGCUAGAGUAUGGGAGAGGAUGGUAGAAUUCCAGGUGUAGCGGUGAAAUGCGUAGAGAUCUGGAGGAAUACCGAUGGCGAAGGCAGCCAUCUGGCCUAAUACUGACGCUGAGGUACGAAAGCAUGGGGAGCAAACAGGAUUAGAUACCCGAGUAGUCCCUGUCUCUUAUAC
rnacentral:rRNA from 1 species